UAUAUUUCAGUUUGGGUGGUAAUAGCUAGACCUAAUAUAUUAUGUCAAAUUCACUUCAAUCAAUAAUAUGUGAUGACCAUAUUGUCAUUGACAUAAGCAGUGGCUGUACCAACAUGUUUAAUCAAAAAGCCUCAAGCAAAUAUCCAUAUCAUCAUGAUGUAUUUGGUGAACUGAAUAAACAAAGGCAGGAUUUGAGAAAUAAAAAAGUAGUUCUGGAAUUGCGCAAAGCAAUUGAUCAUCCAAAUGUCAAGUUUGGCACAAUGGAGGGAGUGUGUACGAUUAAUAAAAUAUAGUGCUGUAGUGGGUUACCUUUGCAACUUGGGACACAACAGAGAUUGUCUGAGUCAAUAACAAUGAGUACUGCUUUCCCCCAGGACUGCCUGGGGUAGGCUGGGGCUACAAUGCAGGACUCAUUCCAACACCACAAAGGAUCACUUUCAAACGUGAGGAAAUGAAAACAGAAUCCUGAAACGGUGAAAGGAAAAAAGAAAGGAGAUAAUAAUUAGCACAUGAAUUUUGUUUUUAAUUAAGAAACACCAAAAAAAAAUAAAAAAAAGGGGGUAGUUUAAACACUUUUGUUGGUAAGACACUAUUUCAACUUGUACAAUUCCCAUCACUGAUCUCCAUGAUACAUUACUUCCACAUUUUGGCCUGUCAUCUGGAGUUAAACAUGAACUAGAGAAAAAAAUUAAAAAUGAAAGAAAUAAUGACCACAUUAUGGAAAAUGUUCCAAUCAGAAACAGUUCAUGAAUAUUUGUUCUUUCAAAUCAUUGCCUUGACGUAGUUAAUGGAUAUGGUGGGGCAAGCCAAUUUACAGUUCAUAUGGACCUCCAGUUGUGAAUUCAUACACCCAACACCCCCAAAGUAGUCGUUCUUUGGGGGAAACCUCUUGCCCUCUUUAACUUCACCUACAGCACAUUUCCCCCCCCAAAUAAUAUGGCUGCUUCCUUGUAUGCAACAUAAUGCUCAGACUGAUUCUGAAUUGAGGCCAGCUGUUGUUCAGGAUAAUGGAAUCCUGGAGCGAAAUGUGGGCUCAACAGAGGUCAUGUAUAAUGGCUGAGAGAGUACAGGGACUACAGGUGGAGAAAGGUUUUAACAAAAGUUUUUCCGGGAAACAUGAAAAUAAAAAUGGGGUUGGGGGAUGUGGGAGGCAAAAAAACGAUAACCAAAAAGAACAGCAGUAAAGGUAUUGCUUCAAAAAGUGGUAUCAAGCAAAGCAAAAAAAAAUAGAAAAUAGGAAAAAAAAAUAUAUAUAUGAAAGAAACAAUAAAUUAUGAAGCAACUGUGAGUAAAAUUAUAGUGCUAUUUCUUUUGAAUAUGAAACAUUUUAAGCGUACAAAAAAAGGUGACAUGGUCUGUGAAGCCUGCGGUGAACAUGCGGUGAUGAAUAUCUAUUCAUAUGAUCAAGAAGGGGGCGAGUGAGCAUGGCGUUCUAUGGGGAGAGGGAGGCCAAAUGCACACACACACACACACACACACACACACACACACACACACACACACACACACACACACACACACACACACACACACACACACACACACACACACACACACACAUACACACACACACACACACACACACACACACACACACACACACACACACACACACACACACACACACACACACACACACACACACACACACACACACACACACACACACACACACACACACACACACGGCCUCAACUGUUGUUGAAGACAUUGUUGAAUGGCUACAAGGUGGAUCUAGCAAACACUGGUCCUGUAGCAGCUAGAAACAUUAAGGUUAACGUUUGGCAACAAGUUGAGGCAUUUUUGCCAUAGACUUUCUGUUUCGAUAUAAGAAAAAUUACACAUGCAAACACAAACACGCACACGCACUCUGACACACAAACACACACGCAAAUAUGCCAUUCAUAGAUAAACUCACAGAGACAAACAAUCACACAUUCGAGAAUGUAUAGAUAAAAAAUUGGUUUUCUACUCCAUCAGGGACCGACAUGAAUAAGUAAUAUCUCAUUGUUACCGUUUGCAAACUCCCAACGCUAAGCCACUGUGACACAACUGAAACUUUACACCAAAAGACAACUGUGGCUGUGAGGGGGUAUAGCACCAAAGUUUCCCCAUUUCUGUCGAUGGGAAGAGCAAGACCCAACAUAAGAUACCAGUAAAAGUGAGUGUCUGGUGAUUCGGAAAUACAUCAAAAACGCACUGUUCCGUUCCUGAAUCCCCUUGCUCCAUGCAGUCCUGCAUGUUGUAUUCCACCUGUUAACCUGAGUUGCGUCUAAUGAAAGCCUGUGGCUGUGACCACGGCCCCCUCUCCCAACAGUCUCUAGAAGACAGUUAAAUGUGCUCACCUCCCAAACUACGGUAGCACAGAGAAAAGUCAAGACGGUUAGGCCUAAAGAUCUGAACAUUUCUUUCGAUCUUAAUCACACUAAGACCUAUAAAGAAAACCGAAGAAAAAGAGACCUGGACACUCCAGGAAAUAAGAAAAGCAGUUGUGGUUAGUUUGCACGUUUCCCCCCGCCCCCCACACAAAUAUAUAAUAUAUAUUCAUAUGCAUAUAAAUAAAAAAAUUCAGUGCUGUAAAAACAACUCCACCUCCAUAGGAUCUGAGCCUUCGUUGAGGAUCUAAUGCACUUUGACUCUUGACUCUGCUGGUCUUAAGCUACUACCGGGAAUAUGUCAACUGUUCUGGUUCUCCUGUGUUAAUAGUCCUUCAUCGAGAAUACAACACAGAGGAAGGGAAGACUUGUUAAUACGAUUGAAAUGUUAUCUCUUUUUUUAGUUUUUUGGUUUUAACGCAGACAGAGAGAAGAAUCCUUGCUUUUCUUUGUGUGAGUGUGUUUAUGUGUGUGUGUGUGUGUUUUUGGUAGCAGCGCAGCACCGAGUGUGUAACAGGUUCUAUAUGAGUCGCUCCCUCUCUCUUCCUCUAUCUCUCCUCCUCUCUCUUUAUCCAUCUUCGUUCUUUCUCUGCGUUUGCGGUUGUGUGUGUGUCCGGGAGUGUGGGGAGGAGUGUGACUCCAUCACUCUAUAGUCUCUGGUUGUGUGUGUGUGUGUGUGUGUGUGUGUGUGUGUGUGUGUGUGUGUGUGUGUGUGUGUGUGUGUGUGUGUGUGUGUGUCUGUGUGUGUGUACUGCUGUCUAUGAGGAGCAGGGUUGCACGUUGACGCCGUGCUUGGCGUGCGCCUGCAGGUCGAUGGCAUGCGCCGGCUGAGCCCCAGGCCACGCGCUCAUCAGCGACACGCUGCGCACGCAGCCCCGCAUACCGCCGGAGAACUUCCCGCCCGUCAUCCCCACCAUGUCCG
ensembl:lncRNA